CCCGUGUUCUUGUAGUAUGUUCUGAAAUCAUAACAUCGACUUUCCGUAAGCCUUCUGAGAUCGAAGUAGAAAAUUUAGUAGGCCAAGCUCUUUUUGGUGAUGGAGCCGCAGCUCUAAUUGUGGGAUCAGAUCCAGAUACCUUAAUUGAACGACCAUUAUUCCAGCUCAUCUCCGCAGAUCAAAUGUUUAUCCCUGAUUCAGUGAAUGCAGUUGAAGGGCAUGUUUGUGAAAUGGGCCUUGUUGUUAAUUUGGCAAAAAAUGUGCCAAACCUAAUUUUUGAGUACAUAGACAAAUGCAUGGUUGAAGCUUUUGGUCCCCUUGGUAUUAAUGAUUGGAACUCAUUAUUUUUCAUCGUUCACCCAGGUGGUC
rnacentral:lncRNA from 1 species